rnacentral:rRNA from 1 species
GACGAACGCUGGCGGCGUGCUUAACACAUGCAAGUCGAACGGAAAGGCCCUGCUUUUGUGGGGUGCUCGAGUGGCGAACGGGUGAGUAACACGUGAGUAACCUGCCCUUGACUUUGGGAUAACUUCAGGAAACUGGGGCUAAUACCGGAUAGGAGCUCCUGCUGCAUGGUGGGGGUUGGAAAGUUUCGGCGGUUGGGGAUGGACGUGCGGCUUAUCAGCUUGUUGGUGGGGGAGUGGCUUACCAAGGCUUUGACGGGUAGCCGGCCUGAGAGGGGGACCGGCGACAUUGGGACUGAGGUACGGACCAGUGGCCUACGGUGGGCAGCAGUGGGGAAUAUUGCACAAUGAGGGGGAGCCUGAUGCGGCAACGCCGGGUGCGGGAUGACGGCCUUCGGGGUGUAAACCGCUUUCGGCUGAGACGAAGCGGGAGUGACGGUAAUGGGUAAAGAAGCACCGGCUAACUACGUG